rnacentral:tRNA from 1 species
GCUCCCAUAGUUCAACGGAUAGAACAGGCCCCUCCUAAGGGUCAGAUACAGGUUCGAUUCCUGUUGGGAGCACCA